AUUGAACGCUGGCGGCAGGCCUAACACAUGCAAGUCGAACGAGUGGCGGACGGGUGAGUCAUGUCUGGGGACAUGCCUGGUGGAGGGGGAUCACUACUGGAAACGGUAGCUCAUACCGCAUACCCUCGGCUUUGCCCAGAUGGGCUGAGCUAGUCGGUGGGGUAAAGGCUCACCUAGGCGACGAUCCCUAGCUGGUCUGAGAGGAUGACCAGCCACACGGGAACGGAGACACGGUCCAGACGCCGACGGGAGGCAGCAGUGGGGAAUAUGGCACAAUGGGCGCAAGCCGGAUGCAGCCAUGCCGCGUGUAUGAAGAAGGCCUGCGGGUUGUAAAGUACUUUCAGCGGGGAGGCGUUACCCGCAGAAGAAGCACCGGCUAAAUCCGUGCCAGCAGCCGCGGUAAUAC
rnacentral:rRNA from 1 species